UUAGAGUUUGAUCCUGGCUCAGAUUGAACGCUGGCGGCAUGCUUUACACAUGCAAGUCGAACGGGGUGAGGGGGCAACUCCUCAUCUAGUGGCGAACGGGUGAGUAAUGCAUCGGAACGUGUCCCGUAGUGGGGGAUAACCCGGCGAAAGCCGGACUAAUACCGCAUAUGCUCUACGGAGGAAAGUGGGGGAUCCGCAAGGACCUCACGCUAUGGGAGCGGCCGAUGUCCGAUUAGCUUGUUGGUGGGGUAAUGGCCUACCAAGGCGACGAUCGGUAGCUGGUCUGAGAGGAUGAUCAGCCACACUGGGACUGAGACACGGCCCAGACUCCUACGGGAGGCAGCAGUGGGGAAUUUUGGACAAUGGGGGCAACCCUGAUCCAGCCAUGCCGCGUGCGGGAAGAAGGCCUUCGGGUUGUAAACCGCUUUUAGUCGGGAAGAAAAGGCACGGGUGAAUACCCCGUGCUUUUGACGGUACCGGCGGAAUAAGCACCGGCUAACUACGUGCCAGCAGCCGCGGUAG
rnacentral:rRNA from 1 species